UACGGAGGUGGCAAGCGUUGCUCGGAAUCACUGGGCGUAAAGGGCGCGUAGGCGGGGAGGUAAGUCGGGUGCGAAAUCCCUCGGCCCAACCGAGGAACUGCGCCCGAGACUGCUUCUCUUGAGUCCCGGAGAGGAAGAUGGAAUUCCCGGUGUAGCGGUGAAAUGUGUAGAGAUCGGGAGGAACACCGGUGGCGAAGGCGGUCUUCUGGACGGUGACUGACGCUGAGGCGCGAAAGCGUGGGGAGCAAACGGG
rnacentral:rRNA from 1 species